UGGGGAAUAUUGCACAAUGGGCGAAAGCCUGAUGCAGCGACGCCGCGUGAGGGAUGACGGCCUUCGGGUUGUAAACCUCUUUCAGUAGGGACGAAGCGCAAGUGACGGUACCUGCAGAAGAAGCACCGGCUAACUACGUGCCAGCAGCCGCGGUAAUACGUAGGGUGCGAGCGUUGUGCGGAAUUACUGGGCGUAAAGAGCUCGUAGGCGGGUUGUCACGUCGUCUGUGAAAUCCUAGGGCUUAACCCUGGACGUGCAGGCGAUACGGGCUUGCUUGAGUACUACAGGGGAGACUGGAGUUUCUGGUGUAGCGGUGGAAUGCACGGAUAUCAGGAAGAACACCGAUGGCGAAGGCAGGUCUCUGGGUAGUAACUGACGCUGAGGAGCGAAAGCAUGGGUAGCGAACAGG
rnacentral:rRNA from 1 species